UACGGGAGGCAGCAGUGGGGAAUAUUGCACAAUGGGCGCAAGCCUGAUGCAGCCAUGCCGCGUGUAUGAAAAAGGCCUUCGGGUUGUAAAGUACUUUCAGUCGUGAGGAAGGUGUUAAGGUUAAUAACCUUAGCAAUUGACGUUAGCGACAGAAGAAGCACCGGCUAACUCCGUGCCAGCAGCCGCGGUAAUACGGAGGGUGCGAGCGUUAAUCGGAAUUACUGGGCGUAAAGGGCACGCAGGCGGUUAAUUAAGUUGGAUGUGAAAUCCCCGGGCUUAACCUGGGAAUGGCAUUCAAGACUGGUUAGCUAGAGUCUUGUAGAGGGGGUAGAAUUCCGAUGUGUAGCGGUGAAAUGCGUAGAGAUGUGGAGGAAUACCGGUGGCGAAGGCGGCCCCUGGGACAAAGACUGACGCUCAUGUGCGAAAGCGUGGGGAGCAAACAGGGAUUAGAUACC
rnacentral:rRNA from 1 species